UACGGAGGGGGCAAGCGUUAUCCGGAAUGAUUGGGCGUAAAGCGUCCGCAGGUGGCAAUGUAAGUCUGCUGUUAAAGAGUCUAGCUCAACUAGAUAAAAGCAGUGGAAACUACAUAGCUAGAGUACGUUCGGGGCAGAGGGAAUUCCUGGUGUAGCGGUGAAAUGCGUAGAGAUCAGGAAGAACACCAGUGGCGAAGGCGCUCUGCUAGGCCGUAACUGACACUGAGGGACGAAAGCUAGGGGAGCGAAUGGG
rnacentral:rRNA from 1 species